GCAGGCGUGCGGGGGGCGGCGGCGCCCAAGCGGACACGGAGCCGGUCAGCAGCAGCCGCGGCGGCGCUGCAGGGACGAGCGCCCAGGGUCGGUCUGGGGUUCUAGCAGCCACAGCUGCGAGCUCUCCCGGCCCCGC
rnacentral:lncRNA from 1 species